GACGAACGCUGGCGGCGUGCCUAAUACAUGCAAGUUGAGCGAUGAAGAUUGGUGCUUGCACCAAUUUGAAGAGCAGCGAACGGGUGAGUAACGCGUGGGGAAUCUGCCUUUGAGCGGGGGACAACAUUUGGAAACGAAUGCUAAUACCGCAUAAUAACUUUAAACAUAAGUUUUAAGUUUGAAAGAUGCAAUUGCAUCACUCAAAGAUGAUCCCGCGUUGUAUUAGCUAGUUGGUGAGGUAAAGGCUCACCAAGGCGAUGAUACAUAGCCGACCUGAGAGGGUGAUCGGCCACAUUGGGACUGAGACACGGCCCAAACUCCUACGGGAGGCAGCAGUAGGGAAUCUUCGGCAAUGGACGAAAGUCUGACCGAGCAACGCCGCGUGAGUGAAGAAGGUUUUCGGAUCGUAAAACUCUGUUGGUAGAGAAGAACGUUGGAGAGAGUGGAAAGCUCAUCAAGUGACGGUAACUACCCAGAAAGGGACGGCUAACUACGUG
rnacentral:rRNA from 1 species